GAGGAGAGGCUUCGUACUUCCUUCGUAGAAGGAACUUCGUGAGAUUUCGCCGCUUGCUACUAGAAGAUUAAAGGGGAAUCUCUAGCAAUCGAUCGCAUGCCCUUCUGUAUUUGCCUGCUACGCUUUUCCCCCGCGGCAACUGCAAUUUCCAGCGUCUAACUGUAAUCCAUUGCAACUGCAUUCCAUUCUUCCUGACCACGUUUGUAACUCGAAUUUACUUUUGCGCGAUGAUGACAGCGUUGAAAGCGUUUGCCUUUCGUCCCGCAAUAGUCGCCGAGAGCGCUUCGUUGAAUCUGAAGAGUCUUUCAGAACUCCUCUAAUCCCGGAAUCCGGGAAAUCGGUUUUCGAGCGUAAUAAAAAGCGCAAAGGCUAUUUGCGAUAAGGCUUAACGUUUGCCAAUUGAUAGCAACCGAUAAGACCGAAUAUUGAGCAGGCAGGAAGAAACGAUUUCAAUCGUCGCGAAACUGUCGUUUGAGUAAACCGAAGGGACAGCGCGAUAAAUUGUGCCGUCAGAAACGGUGGUAAAUUGUAGCGAAAGAUAACACGUAUCCAGAUAAAUACAUUUGUUGUAAUAUCGUGGAUAUCGACAAAGACCUUUGAAGAGCAAUCGAUUUUUGAAGCAACGGCCGGAUUCUAGAAGAGUCAAAGACAGGGAUCCUUCAAAGAUUUGACGGCAGAUUAGAGGGAAAAAUAGGAUUAUCGAAAAUCGUUUAGGAUCCUGACAAUCGAAGAAUCGCUACAAUGGCUGAAAGAACGCCGGCUCCUGACAGUGAAAAAGUGGAAGAAAUCGCGCCCGAUAAGACGCAAGAGGUCGACGCCAUUUUGGUAGAGACGCCGGUUGUCAUGGAAGACGGAAGCGAAAUUAAAAAUCGAGUCAGAAGGAACAUCAUCACCGUGCCGGAACGAAACGUCGAGAUCGAGAUAGAAGGGACGAGACAUCGUCACGAUACGAAGGGGCGAUUGAGACCUAUAUUGCAUUGAUUAACAUUUCACACGAUACAACGAUACGAGCGGUGUAAUCCUACAAACGUCACAGUGAAAUAUCAUAACAACGUAUGUCGAGAGAUUGGCCAAGCUAUUUGUCCACUUUGCAUCAGAGAAACAAACUCCACCAUCAAUGCGAUUAUCAAUGUAUAUUAUUUAUUAGUUGUUUCAAUGCCAUUAAUUACGCAGCAACUUGCAACUAUAAUAUGUGUGUGUGAGUCCCGAUUUAUCAUAAUAAGAUUUUU